AUCUCGGCUCUCGCCACGAUGAAGAAUGUAGCGAAAUGCGAUACUUAGUGUGAAUUGCAGAAUCCCGUGAAUCAUCAAGUCUUUGAACGCAAGUUGCGCCCGAGGCCUCGGCCAAGGGCACGUCUGCUUGGGCGUCGCA
rnacentral:rRNA from 1 species